GAUUGAGUCAGAAACGGCGUAAGUUGAAAUAUUUAACUUCUAUGCAAUAAAGAUUUACACGGUACUGCCAGAAGGAUAACUUAAAGAAAAACUUUACAGUGUUCAUAUUUUGAUUAGCCGAAUACAAACUCAAAGAUCAUGUUCAGUAAGUAUUUUUUUUGUCUUUAAAAAUAAUAAAACACAAAAAAUAAUAUAUCUCCAACCGACCAUUCAUCUUGUGUAGAUAAACGCAUCAUACAUACCAGGAUUGAAAUUUCAUAUUUACGCCAUACGCGCGUUUCGUCUACAAAAGACUCAUCAGUGACGCUCAAAUCAAAAAUUUACUCAUUAAUUAUCAGAUGUCUGUCGUUGUUGACGUUUACUAAAAUAGAUGUAAGAAGAUGUGGUAUGAGUGCCAAUGAGACAACACUCCACCCAAGUUAAUCCAUUCAUCAGUAAACUAUAAGGAAAUGAAAAUUUUCCUCUUUUAUACUGUAUUUUGGUCAUAAACAAGCUUCUGUCCAAAUUUCAUAAAAUUCCAAAAAGGUGGGUUCAAAAAGUUAUUGAUGCCUAAACUACUGAAAACUUUAAACCACAGACUGAACCUAAAUGUUGACUACGCCGCCGCCGAUGACGAAAUUCCAUGAUCAGUAUGUAUCGCUUAUGCAUGUUUAUCGAAAUAAAUUUUGCAGGCUCGACAAUUAAAACUAGAAUAUGAAUUAGAAAAUUAGAAGUCUUCUUGGAUUUACACGUAGUUACGUAGUUAAUAUUUCCUAUUUUAUUGCAGUUACAACAAUUUGGAGUAUAUACUACAGUUGCAUCGCCAUUAAGAAAAUUGUGGUUGACCAUUGGGGAUGUAGGGACGUCAAAUUUUGUUCUGGUUGUGGAAGAAUGACUGAUGCACGACACUUUGUGACAAGAUUACCGCCUUACAGUAAAGAUAAACUUGGUGUGGCAACAGAGUCAGACGACCAUUCCACGGUUUCAUGCAUGGGUAAAUAAAACUAACUGACAGUGACAAAUAUGCUAUCCAUUAACAAACAACGUGUACAGACUUUGCUACUAGUAUUCACAUAAAUCUGUCAACAUACUGUGCUAAGGUCCAGUGUAUAAUACUACAAUGUUUUCCCAGAAAAAAAACCAAGUAUUAUAGCUAGUUGGAAAAGUGUAAUUAUUGGAGGAUUCAGAAGUAAAAAGUCAAUAUAGAUAACAACUAAGUACACAAGAUGGGAGUUUCAUCAUGUCUAUAUACGUAAAGCUGUAUCAAUAGUGCUCAAAUCAAAUUGGUAUGAAAUGAGAUACCAUAUUCAUAACAAGGUCGAAAGAACAUUGGAAACCAAAACAUUUUAACAUGUAUUCUUUGUAUAAAAGUAAGAAGCUGACCUGUGGUAUGAUUGUGUUCUUAAUACUGUGGGACUUCAUUGCAGGACUGUACACCUCUUUCUCUAGCCUUAUCUUAUUUUGAACACCUCCAAUGAUUGUGAACACAAAUGGUCAGUUAAAGCAUGUAUAUACCCUUUUGUCUUUUCAAAAAUGGUCAGUUAAAGCAUACCCUUCUUUCUUUACAAAAAAUGUCAGUUAAAGCAUACCCUUUUGUCGUUGCCAUCCUUAUAAGUUUUCUUAUUAACUGGAUUUUAGAAGUAAAAAUCGGUUAUCGGCUGCCAAACAGUGUCUGUUCAUUUACAUGAAGACGCUUUGACAAAUUUUUAGAUAUGUUGUUUACUGGGAGUAAAUGACGGUCAAGUUUAAUUUUCACGGUUUUAGCUUUUCUUAUUACUAAUUUAUGUGUCCCUCUGAGAGCCUCUUGUAUUUAAUCCACCGCGGGUAAAUUAUCACGUUUUGAUUGGUUUAACGCCGUCACGUGGUAGGGACCGUAAGGGGUUCAUAACGCGUUAAUAGUGACGUCAUCUGUAAAUGUUGUUUUGUUACAUAGUUUAUUUUUCAACAAAACGCAGCAGAAAAAGUCCAGCGUGCGAUAAAUUUGUUAUACGGUUAACUACUGACCCCCUACGGAUCCAUAGAGGGUGAAUAAAUUCCAUAGGGGAUUCAGCCUCCGGCCUCACACCUAUGAAUUUUACUAACCCUCUAUGGAUCUGUAGGGGGUCAGUAGCGAACCAUAUAACUUAUAAUAUGUAUGCAAGAGUUCAAACUAAUUUGACCUAUUUUUUUAUUUUCAGAAAUGUAAUUCUGCAAACCAUUGAUGACCUUAAUGAUGCCAUGAGACACUAUACACAUCACACAAUAUUAUCUAUUAAAUUUUAAUUAGGAUUCCAUACAAAGGGAAAUAUUUCUAUUAACAGCCUGAGAUUCUGUCACAAGACAUCCAUGAAACUGUAACAGCAGG
rnacentral:lncRNA from 1 species